rnacentral:rRNA from 1 species
AGCGAACGCUGGCGGCAGGCUUAACACAUGCAAGUCGAGCGCCCCGCAAGGGGAGCGGCAGACGGGAGAGUAACACGUGGGAACAUACCUUUUGGUUCGGAACAACUGAGGGAAACUUCAGCUAAUACCGGAUAAGCCCUUACGGGGAAAGAUUUAUCGUCGAAAGAUUGGCCCGCGUCUGAUUAGCUAGUUGGUGAGGUAACGGCUCACCAAGGCGACGAUCAGUAGCUGGUCUGAGAGGAUGAUCAGCCUCACUGGGACUGAGACACGGCCCAGACUCCUACGGGAGGCAGCAGUGGGGAAUAUUGGACAAUGGGGGCAACCCUGAUCCAGCCAUGCCGCGUGAGUGAUGAAGGCCUUAGGGUUGUAAAGCUCUUUUGCCCGGGAAGAUAAUGACGGUACCGGGAGAAUAAGCCCCGGCUAACUUCGUG